rnacentral:rRNA from 1 species
GCAGUCGACGACCCCGAUUUAUCGGGGUAGUGGCGAACGGGUGAGUAACGCGUAAGUAAUCUGCCCCUAAAUAGGGGAUAACUCUGAGAAAUUAGAGCUAAUACCGUAUGUGGUGGUGGAGGUAAUGCUCCAUCACUAAAGCCUUUUUGGUGUUUAGGGAGGAGCUUGCGUCCGAUUAGCUAGUUGGUAGAGUAAUGGUUUACCAAGGCGAUGAUCGGUAGCUGGUUUGAGAGGACGGUCAGCCACAUUGGGACUGAGAUACGGCCCAGACUCCUACGGGAGGCAGCAGCAAGGAAUUUUGUGCAAUGGGCGAAAGCCUGACACAGCGACGUCGCGUGGGGGAUGAAUGCCUUCGGGUUGUAAACCCCUUUUCGCAGGGAAGAAAAAUGACGGUACCUGAGGAAUAAGUCUCGGCUAACUACGUGCCAGCAGCCGCGGUAAUACGUAGGAGGCGAGCGUUAUCCGGAUUUACUGGGCGUAAAGAGGGCGUAGGCGGUUUUUCAAGUCGGAUGUAAAAGUUUUCAGCUUAACUGAGAAAAGUCAUUCGAUACUGUUAAGCUAGAGGGCAGCAGAGGGAGGCGGAAUUCCCGGUGUAGUGGUGAAAUGCGUAGAUAUCGGGAGGAACACCAGUGGCGAAGGCGGCCUUCUGGGCUGUUUCUGACGCUGAAGCCCGAAAGCGUGGGGAGCAAACAGGAUUAGAUACCCUGGUAGUCCACGCCGUAAACGAUGGACAC